GAGAGAGAGAGAGAGAGAGCAUGGGGCUCCAUCAACAUAAAGAUUGAGCAAAACCUGCACAGAGGCUGCCAGGCUGCCAGCCCAUUUGUACCCACUGUUCAUUAACAAGAGAAAAUUAAAUAAAAUUUUGAGAAGAAGAAAUUUAUUUCCAGUUUUUUCUCUUUCAGGCUGCUUCCCACAGCAUUGACAGGAAAAAAAAGAAAAACUAGAAACGAAAAAAAAAAAAAAAAAAAAA
rnacentral:misc_RNA from 1 species